GACACAUCUGAGGGAGGUUUCACUGCUGAGGUCAGCGCGCUGCGUCUUUGGCGCUGUGUGGACGCUUUGGGAAUUUUUUUUUUUUUUUUUGCGCGCAUAGUGGUUGCACUUUUAAAGAAACUUCAGCAGAAUACUCAGCCUUUUUAGAUUUCUCUUUUAAUCUUAGUCCAUAUAUAUGUAUGUAUUUUUAUAGUACAGUCUCAUUUGGUGAUAAUAGAGAUGAACUCUAAAAAAAAAUAAAAUAAAUAAAUUUAAAAAAGGCCAAGCAAGCAACGCGUUCCAGAAACCCAAGGCCCGAGCGCAAAGAUUUGUUUUCCCACCGAAAGGAUUUCCACAAGUCGUCUCCAGCUGGUCUCUAAUGUCGCGCUGUGAGGUUAAACACAAGUCUGGAUCCAGAGGAACCAGAGGAACUGAUUGUGUGAGCCUUCAUCCUGGUCUGUUACUCCGUCUCUCCUCAGCUUCCUGUGUGAUCCCUUCAUUCGCUUCGCAGCAGAGGAAUAUAAACGCGGAGCAGCUCAAGACGCUCCAUGCCUCCUCUGAUCUCUGAUCUCCCCCGUUGUCAUGGCGAAUCCACACAAACCGAGACAGCGCUCCAACCCUUACAGUCAAUUUCUGUCAGGGUUUUCUCUUCAGAGGAUGUGGCAGACUGGCUUGUUGAAGUCCUUCGUGAAAGCAGCAGCAUCCACGUGAGUGACGGCCGCGGUCUCUGCACAAAACAGGAAGUCAUGCUGAAACCUCGAAGGAGACGUUUAGACGGCUAAAGCGGGAUCUUCACCCGUCUGUCCCAAAGCCCGGCAGAUGGGAGAAGAUCUGUGAAGGAGGAGUUCAUUUUCUUUUCUUUUUUUUUUGACAAUAAAAACAAUCGGACUCGGCAGUCGUCCUCUCCGGGUGUCAAUGACAGCCGGCUGCACACAGUCAAGAAAUCUUUGGACCUUCUGCUAUGUCUCCAAACAAAAUAAAACCUAAACCGUCUGCUGACAACCGCUGCAACUGAGAACGAGAUAAUCUCUCUGAAGGAGGAAGGAAGCGGAAAGCCGGAGGACGCUCCUCAGGUCGAGUGGAAAAAACUGCAGGAGGCGGCAGGUCAUCCUGAGAGCCGCUAAUCAACGUUAACACCUCAGCAGGAAGCAGCAGGGUCCCAGAGAGGACGAUAAGGAGAUAUCUAGGAUAGGAACUGGAUGGCUGUGUAGACUUUCAUUGAUGUGACUGAAAAUUUUUGGCUGCUCCAUCUGUAGACUCCUUUGUGGUGAAGCAGAGAGACAGCAUGCUGGCUUUUGAGUCUAAGGAACUGUGCAAGCAUUUAUUGCAUCGUUUAUCGUGGUAAAUUCCUUAAAAGAAUUUUGAUUUAUUGUCACAAUAAAUUCCAAUGAAUGUUUAAAACCCCCAAAAGAUGUCCGUAUUAUCUGCGCUGUUACUUUUACUAUCAUUUGUUUUAUGAGAGUAGCAAUACAUACCAAUACAUUUUUAAAUGUGACUAAA